rnacentral:tRNA from 1 species
GUGGCUGUAGCUCAGGGGUAGAGCACUGGAUUGUGGCUCCAGUGGCCGUGGGUUCAAAUCCCAUCAGCCACCCCA